rnacentral:rRNA from 1 species
UUGGGAAGGAGUACACACCGACCCGUAGAGUUUGAUCCUGGCUCAGCGCGAACGCUGGCGCGCAUGCCUUAACACAUGCAAGUCGUACGGAGAGUGGGGCAACUCACUCUCAGUGGCAAACGGGUGAAUAACACGUGAAUAACCUGCCUUUGAGAAGGGGAUAACUGUCCGAAAGGAUAGCUAAUACCCUAUAUUGCCUUUUGUCACUAAGGCAAAAGGUGAAAGCGAGGCUGUCAAAGGCUUCGGCUCAAAGAGGGGUUCGCGUCCUAACAGGUAGUUGGUGGGGUAAUGGCCUACCAAGCCAAUGACGGGUAGCUGGUCUUAGAGGAUGAUCAGCCACAGUGGGACUGAGACACGGCCCGCACCCCUACGGGGGGCAGCAGUGGGAAUCGUGGGCAAUGGGCGCAAGCCUGACCCCGCAAUGCCGCGUGAGGGAAGAAGCCCUUCGGGGUGUAAACCUCUGUCAGAUGGGAAGAUGGGACUAGGGGCUAAUACCUCCUGGUCUUGACGGUACCAUCAGAGGAAGGGACGGCUAACUACGUGCCAGCAGCCGCGGUAAUACGUAGGUCCCGAGCGUUGCGCGAUGUUACUGGGCGUAAAGCGUCCGUAGCCGGUUUCGUAAGCGGAUUGUCAAAGCCCGAAGCUCAACUUCGGCAAGGCAUUCCGAACUGCGUUACUUGAGUCCUGUUCAGGUAGGCGGAAUUCCCGGUGUAGCGGUGAAAUGCGUAGAUAUCGGGAGGAACACCAGUGGCGAAGGCGGCCUACUGGGACGGUACUGACGGUCAUGGACGAAAGCUGGGGGAGCAAACCGGAUUAGAUACCCGGGUAGUCCCAGCCGUAAACGAUGGAUGUUAGGUGUAGUGAUAACUUAGCUGCACCCCAGCUAACGCGUUAAACAUCCCGCCUGGGGAGUACGGGCGCAAGCCUGAAACUCAAAGGAAUUGGCGGGGGCCCGCACAACCGGUGGAGCGUCUGGUUUAAUUCGAUGCUAACCGAAAAACCUUACCAGGGUUUGAAAUGGUAGGAAAGGCUGUCGAAAGAUAGCUGUGUCUCCCUUUUGGGAGAAAUCCUACCACAGGUGGUGCAUGGCCGUCGUCAGCUCGUGUUGUGAGAUGUUGGGUUAAGUCCCGCAACGAGCGCAACCCUUGUCCUUAUUUGCUUCCUCGUAUGAGGUGCUCUUUA